CCCUACGGGGUGCAGCAGGCGCGAAACCUUUACAAUGCGCGAAAGCGUGAUAAGGGGAUACUCAGUGCUUACGCUUCUGGUGUAGGCUUUUGCUGUGUGUAAAAAGCACGGCGAAUAAGUGGUGGGUAAGACUGGUGCCAGCCGCCGCGGUAACACCAGCGCCACGAGUGGUCAUCGCGAUUAUUGGGCCUAAAGCGUUCGUAGCCUGUUUGGUAAAUCUCUUGUGAAAUUGUCCUGCUCAACGGGACAGCGUGCAGGAGACACUACCAGACUCGAGACCGGGAGGGGUUAGAGGUAUUCCAUAGGGACCGGUAAAAUGGGAUAAUCUAUGGAGGACCACCGAUGGCGAAGGCAUCUAACCAGAACGGAUCUGACGGUGAGGAACGAAAGCCAGGGGAGCGAACCGGAUUAGAUACCCGAGUAGUCCUGGCCGUAAACGCUGUGAGCUAGGUGUUGCGCAUCUCACGAAGAUGCGCAGUGUCGAAACGAAGGUGAUAAGCUCACCGCCUGGGAAGUACGGUCGCAAGACUGAAACUUUAAGGAAUUGGCGGGGGCGCACUACAAGGGGUGCGGCGUGCGGUUUAAUCUAACUCCACGCAGAGAACCUUACUAGUGGCGACGGCAGAAUGAAGGCCGUGCUAAAGACACUGCCAGACGAGCCGAGAAGAAGUGCAUGGCC
rnacentral:rRNA from 1 species